UAAUGUGUUUUAGGUGUAUAGUUGUUUUUUUUUUAUUUAUUUUUCCAAACAGGUAUCGUGAAAUAAUAAUUUGAAUGGACGUAUUGUUUUUUUUCUUCUGGACACAUAUACACUGAUCGCGCCGCGGUAUCGAUGAUAAUAAUAAUGGUCGACGGAGUUCAACGAACAUCCGCCGCGUACAAUUUACCGGUAUAAUGGGUAUAUACUGCACAGUAUUAUUAUACAGGUGAAAUAUGCAAAGUCUAGUUAGAAACUUAGAAAUCGAUAAAUCCGGCACUGUUAUCGCGAUCGCGACAGUUGUAACGGCGGAACCGCAGGCCUGGAGGCACCUGAAACAUUUCUCGAAGUGCAACUAGAGACAUCGUAGACGACGAUUUCGACUACGGCGACGAUGCGCUGUCAAUGCAAUAAUAUAUUAUGUUCCUCCACGGCACUUAACGUGACAAUAAUCUCUGAAGCGUUAUAAUAUACGCCAUUCGUAGAGUAGUGACAGUGUAGGACGUAGGUCAUAAUAUUUACAUUUAUUUUAUACUUCUUGCGGUAUAUUGUAUAUAGUAUAUAACGACGGUACGAUAAUGGUACACGCUGUCUUAUUUAAAUCGAAUGUUCGGAAAAACUAUAAUAUUUUGUUUCCAGUAUAUUACGUUGUUAUUGCGAUAUUGUAGAAGUACCGUGGAGAUUUUCGAUAAAAAAAAAAUCAAAACGAUCGACUCAGAAAAUGAGCGUGGCCCCGGUGAAACGGCUCACUCUGCAGUUAUACAACCGACCAACGUAUCGUAGUGCAGGUCGUAGAAGAGGAAAAACACACGAUACUGUUACACAAUGUUUAUAAUAUGUAAAUACGAUUUAGAGCGACCGAAAUAGUGUUCGAGUAGACGGUGUAGUUUUUCUCGAAUCGUAUCGAGUCCAUUGGUUUUUGAAAAACAACGCCGGUGAUGACACGCGUCUUGCUAAAAGAAUAAUCCAAAAUAUUAUUAUACGACCGAUUAACGUAUGCGUGGACAUGUAUUAUAGAGCUUUAUGGUUGUGUGUUACUAUAUUAUUAGGUACUGUAUUGUAUAUAGAUAGGUACUGUACAUGGCGUCCGUAGGAAUUUGUCUAGGGAGGAGGGAGCAAUAUUGUAUUUUAAUUUUUGUUACAUCAUCUGAUUAGCAUAAUAGUAUUAUAUCUUUAAGCUAUUAUAUUCAAUAUUCAUGUCUAUACGCAAUCUAUAAACAUUAAAUUAUUUUUAAUAAAAAAGUAAAAAUUUGGUUGUCACUGCACUUGGCCGGAUUAGUUAAAAACACUGUUUUUGGUUUUUAAUUUCAGAAUUAUUUUAUGCUACAUAACGACUAUGAUAAUUGACCCGGAAAAAAGCCAAAAGGGCAAUUUCCCCUACUUUCCUUCCCCUUGAGGACACCCUUGGUACUAUAUUCGGUCCACGACUACUCCGCUCCGUCCACAGAAAACCAAUAAAUAUGCAUCAUUGUAUGUACCAGGUACAUUGUACCUACAACGGAACAACGUUGUUGACAACCGGAACAUACUACUAUACAUUAUAAAUGUAAUUCACACAUUGAUAGAUAAUAAUAGACAAGAGAGUGGGUACCUGUGCGUUAGAUAUUGUUCUGUACAACCUCUAUACCUACAUAAUAUAAUCGUUAUGUCGAGGCAAUGUCGGUAAUCCAAUAUUAUGAAUAGGCCCCGGAUUUACUUAAAUAGUUAAAUACCCUAAAACUAUCGAAAAAUGCUAAAAAUAUUAAAAAAAUUAAUUAAAUUAAAAUAUUUACAACUUGUGAUGUUUAUCUUAUUGAUAUACGUGCAGUCUGCGAACAUUAUGAUGAUAAUCAACGAUUAUUACCUAAGUAUAUUUCAUAUCUACUUUUAAAAUAUUAAAUUUCACUCGACUAAUAUUAGGUUCGCAAAUCCUCUUGAUUGCGCUAUGAGCUGUAUUAAUAAUGUGUAAAAUGAAA